rnacentral:rRNA from 1 species
CUACGUUUGACAUGCAUAUGAUCGCUGCAGAGAUGUACGUUUUCUAGGGGUAACCCUACACAUUUGCACAGGUGCUGCAUGGCUGUCGUCAGAUCAUGUCGUGAGAUGUUGGGUUAAGUCCUAUAACGAGCGCAACCCUUGCUAUCAGAUGCUACUUUUUAAGGCACUCUGAUAGGACUGCCCGGGAAACCGGGAGGAAGGUGGGGAUGAUGUCAAGUACCGCAUGGUCCUUAUGCCUAGGGUAACACACGUGUUACAAUGGCCAAUACAUAGGGCUGCAUAUCCGCAGGGUGGAGCUAAUCCCAGAAAGUUGGUCUAAUUUCAAAUUGAGGUCUGCAAUUCCACCUCAUGAAGUUGAAAUCGCUAGUAAUCGCGUAUCAUAACAACGCGGAGAAUACAUUCUCUGACCUUGUACACACCGCCCGUCACGCCAUGAAAGCUGUCUGUACCCGAAAUCAUCUUAACUAACUCGUAAGAGAGGCGGAUGCUGAAGGUAUGGAGAGUGAUUGGGGCG